AUAAAUAUAGUAUGUUAAAACGGAAAGAUACCAGUAUAUCAUAAAAUAUUACAUAAAAUUCAGAAAAACCAUAAAAGUUUACGAAGUAACACGAAUCAAAUAAAAAUAAAGAAAAAACAAUUUGGCAUUUGGUCAUGGUCACCGUAAUAUUAUUACGGAGUAAGUGGUGGUAGACAAUAUCCAUAAAAUGAAGAGAAGUCGAUGACAUAAAUCCGGCGAUAGAAAGAAUCUUAGAAAAGAGAGUGAAAGAAAGAGAAAAAAAGAGAGAGAAGAUGAAAGAGAAAAUGAGAAAAUGAUAUAUUAGUAAUUUUAUUUGCCUCUCCGAUAAAGUACUAUUGCCCAUAGUCAUUUACUCUAUUCUUUUUGGUUUCAUGGUUAUUUUGUACAUAUACCAAAAAAGGAAAGAAAAAGUCACCUUUUGAAUAUUAAAAAAAACUAUUUAAGUUUAGCUAUGGAAUAUAAUUAAACCCAUUGAAAUUUAAGAAGUCAAGUUGUUGGAAGUUUUGUUUACUAUUGCUU
rnacentral:sRNA from 1 species